rnacentral:misc_RNA from 1 species
ACAAAUCUUUUAAAAUAUUUGACAUUGGUUCAGGGUAAAACUUGUACCUAAUGUUAAUAUAUUUACCCGGAGCCAGUUUGGCUCGGUCAAUUUUUGUAGGGAUUUUCCGUACGAAAAUUGUCAAUUGAGCUAUUGAAGUGAAAUAUAUUCAGUAGCACAUAAACCCGAUUGUAUUUGUUUGACAGUGUAUUAUUUAAUUGUAUUGUGAACACAUUUGUGUUAAUUUUACUAUUAAGUAUUAUUUUAAAAAUAUAUA